rnacentral:pre_miRNA from 1 species
AUAAGAAUCACCUGGAAAUCUGGUUAAAAUGCAGAUUCUGAUUCAGCAAGUUUGGAAUAAAAUCUGGGUCUGCAUUUCUAACAAGAUCCCAGGUGAUGCCUGU